CCUUGACAUACUAAGAACUUUCCAGAGAUGGAUUGGUGCCUUCGGGAACUUAGAUACAGGUGCUGCAUGGCUGUCGUCAGCUCGUGUCGUGAGAUGUUGGGUUAAGUCCCCGCAACGAGCGCAACCCUUUUCCUUAUUUGCCAGCGGGUCAUGCCGGGAACUUUAAGGAUACUGCCAGUGACAAACUGGAGGAAGGCGGGGACGACGUCAAGUCAUCAUGGCCCUUACGGCCAGGGCUACACACGUGCUACAAUGGUCGGUACAAAGGGUUGCUACCUCGCGAGAGGAUGCUAAUCUCAAAAAGCCGAUCGUAGUCCGGAUCGCAGUCUGCAACUCGACUGCGUGAAGUCGGAAUCGCUAGUAAUCGCGGAUCAGAAUGCCGCGGUGAAUACGUUCCCGGGCCUUGUACACACCGCCCGUCACACCAUGGGAGUUUGUUGCACCAGAAGUAGGUAGUCUAACCGCAAGGAGGACGCUUACCACGGUGUGGCCGAUGACUGGGGUGAAGUCGUAACAAGGUAAGCGUAGAUGA
rnacentral:rRNA from 1 species